UCCUAGUCUAGAUCGUAUGCUCGUGGCCGCUAUGUAAGGCCGCGGGAAUUCGAUUAGAGUUUGAUCCUGGCUCAGGACGAACGCUGGCGGCGUGCCUAAUACAUGCAAGUCGAGCGGGCCGCCCCGGGGCUUGCCCCGGGGCGGUCAGCGGCGGACGGGUGAGUAACGCGUGGGUAACCUGUCCGGCAGACCGGGACAACGCCUGGAAACGGGCGCUAAUUCCGGAUAGGCGCCGGGGACGCAUGUUUCCGGCGGGAAAGGGGGAACUCCCGCUGCCGGGUGGGCCCGCGUCGCAUUAGCUAGUUGGUGGGGUAACGGCCCACCAAGGCGACGAUGCGUAGCCGGCCUGAGAGGGUGGACGGCCACACUGGGACUGAGACACGGCCCAGACUCCUACGGGAGGCAGCAGUAGGGAAUCUUCCGCAAUGGGCGCAAGCCUGACGGAGCGACGCCGCGUGAGGGAAGAAGGCCUUCGGGUUGUAAACCUCUGGCUUUGGGGACGAGGGGGCGGAGGGGGACUCCGCCGGGGACGGUACCCAAGGAGGAAGCCCCGGCCAACUACGUGCCAGCAGCCGCGGUAAGACGUAGGGGGCGAGCGUUGUCCGGAAUCACUGGGCGUAAAGGGCGCGUAGGCGGUUUUGCGCGUCAAAGGUGAUAGACCGCGGCUCAACCGCGGGGGGACCUUUGAUACGGCGAGACUUGAGAGUCGGAGAGGCAAGGUGAAUUCCUGGCGUAGCGGUGAAAUGCGUAGAGAUCACGACGAACACCGGUCGGCGAUUGCGCCUUGCUGGACGACCUCUGACGCUGACGCGCGAAAGCCCUGGGGUAGCAAACCCGGAUUAUAUACCCUGGUAGUCCACGGCGUACUCGAUGAGUGGCUAGGUGUGUGUUGGUGUUACCUAUCCGAGCCGAAGCAAGCAAUUUACUCUUCUUCUGAUGUCUAAGUUUACAGUAGAAAAUGUCACUGCUCGUCGGGGCCGCCCAUACUCCUGUUAAUUGAUUACAGUCAAGGCACACUUAUGAUCCUGAGCUUGCGUGUGACUGCGACCCCCCUCGCCCUUAUUUGUGAGGUC
rnacentral:rRNA from 1 species